ensembl:lncRNA
CCUGCCACACUGAAGUCCUGUUCACUUUGUUGAUGUCAGAAGUGCUCCUCCUGUAGCACAGCCAGUCCUGCAGGAGCAGUUUUAGGAAUGCCAGUCUGCUGUGCCAGCUGCUGCCUGUGGGGCUGAAUGGAGAACAGAGUGCUGAAAUCCUUCACUUCUCGGUGGAGUCUGUUAAUGGAAAAGUACCCUGUGAUGCCUGUGAAAUACCAGAAGAGCUUCUGGAGGGGAGAACACAACAGGGUAGGACCUAGGGCAGAAGGGUUUCCCAUGUUAUGACAGAACGCUUCAUUGCUGAAACCUGUCUGCAAAUCUUUGCUUCCUGUCUAAGGUUUUUCAGCAGUCUGACUAAUCAUGAAAUCUUCCAUUUUGGCAAACCUUGCUCCAUACACUUAUAACAUGAUUUUUCAGCCUUUCUGUAUUGCCACAGAGAAGUUCAGGAAGGAUACAAGUGAUCAAGGCCAUCUGGACAUACAAAAGGUAAAGCAAAUAUUUCUGGGAGAGAAGGAGUGCCACAGUUCAGGAGGCAUGGGGUGGGAUUUGGAGAUUUGGAAAGACUCGUUAAGAGCCCACUGUAGCUGUGCAGGUUUAAUUUUGGAAGAAGAUACUGCGAAUGGUUUGAAUAACCUUGAAACUGACGACCUGUAUGUUAAUUGUGAAAAACCUUCUGGAUAACUGCUGCUUAAAAUACGAGUAUCUGCCUAUGGGAUGGGAAUGUAAAUAGCUGCCAUCAGCUGAUUGCAAGUGACUGCAGUGAUUCCAUAUUGAUACUUUGAGGAAGGGUCUUAGGUUAUGGUUUAAGCCUUAAACCAGUGUGGGAAAACUAAAUGAGAACUAAUGUUUUGUAGAGACUGUUCCCCUAGCAUAAUUACUGCAGUCUUUGGUACUGAGCACUAAACUGCAGAGUUUCAGGUUUGAUCUGCUGUGUUACUGUGUUGCUAAAAGAAACAGAGUAAUACUGUGAGAAUGUAAAGGAAGGAAAAAGUCACGGAAAUAAGAUUUUCAAACCAUUACAUGAUACAGUAUGUAGUUAAAAUAGGGGUGGCACAGGCAGAUUGGGUUAGGAACAUGUCUGGGCUCAUUUUCCUCUUGAAGGCAUCCCUGAUUGUGUCAGAGGAGGGGAGUGAACUAUUCAGGCUGCGUAUGUGUGUGGGUGUGUGCACCUAAAAAUACAUGCCCAGGUUUCACACAGAUACAUUUGUAUUUGAUUUCUAUUCUGACAGUAUUCUGUGAAGCAAUUUCUGUUCCUUUUGAACCUGGACAUAUAAAACAGAACAGCUGCUUCUGUAGUGUUUUAGGUACAAGAAUAAUUUUUGGCCUUAAAUAUCUGUUAGUCGCUGGGCUUCCUGCACGUUUGCUUUUCAUUCAGUAAUGUCCAACCAAGAUAACUGGGAUGUGGAGAGAAGCUAAAGCAGCUGGUAUAGCUCCUUAAUCCACAGACCAUCUGAUCUGAAAUUCACAUGGGCUACUUUUCAGAGCCAAACCAGCUGUGGUGGCAUCCAGGAAGGACUCUCAAGUCAUGUUUCAAGAAGAUAACUGUCUCCUUCCUCACAUGAAGAAAAUACUUUCCUUCUUGUACCUUUCCUAAUGUACCUCCUGGGAUGCUGUAUAUUGAAGAGUUUGUAUUCAGCUCCAUUAUAUAAUGUAACCCUGGAGCUACUGCCUUUUGUUAAACAUGUACUGUACUUGUUUUCUUGUGAGAAAAAUGUGUGUGCAGAUCACAUCCAUCUUACAGUUUCUGUGUCCCAUUUUCCUGGCUACAUACUCAUUCAAUAGGCAGCUGAAAAAAGUAAAAGGCUCUGGCUGAAUCUUCAAAACAAAUUCUCCCUGGUUAUCCAGAUAGAGUUACAGAAUAACAAAUCAAUGCUGCCUUUGUGUGAUGCCUGCAUGACUCUUAUUAAUACAAGAGUCAUAACUGUGGAAUGGAGUCUGUGGAGAUAGAAGAUAAUUCAGCCAUAAUACCAAGGGACCUUAAUGUAUAUUGCCAAUUGCCAGAUACUUCAGCCUUUUCCCCCUAAUUUUUUUCCCAGUGCCUGAGCUUUUAAAUUAGUCUGGCCCCAACUGAAGGAAUACUUUCUGUUUGCAAUGUGAUUAAUGUAGGCUCAGUUUAAUUUCCUGAGACUUGUUCUGAGAAGCAUCCCUGCUAGCUGAUUACUUUUAUGUUUGCAAACAUCCAAAUCCCCACAUGACAACCUGAUCCUUUUGUAUUUGUGUAUUUAGGAAGCAUCAUUCUAUUGGCACAAGACACAAGUACUAGCUGAGGAUACUUGGUGUCUCUGAGCUGAGCGCUUCCAUUUCCAUUUAUUUUAUAAGACCUGGAGGCAGACAGCACCUCUGAGGUCAGAAAUAAGAAAGAUUGAGAAACUGAAUCAGGAUCUAGAAUCAAUAUUUUAAUAACUAGGGAAUAUUUUCUUCAAAGCUUUGUUUAAGUGAUUGCUAUGGUUACAAGUCCUGUAACAAGGAUAUUCCAGUUAUACAAAUAAUUAAAUUUAGCCUGCCUUUAAAUCUGUUUUCUGCAAAGAAUAUAUGGAACUUUGUGGAAGUCUUUCCUUGGCAUUGGACAGCCUCUCCUUUUGGUUCAGUUAUGGCUAGUUUGGCUGCCAGGUUAAUGGCAAAAGGGGAUCAGGCUGCAGACCUCAACAUACAGGUGGGUGGAACAUGGAAACUGAAUGGUUGGGAGCACGAUAACACACAAAGUGUAAGCCACUGCUUCAGGCAGUGCAGCAGCCAGGUUGGUUGAAGUAAAAAGUGCAGAGUAAGGGCCAUUUCCAGUUAGAAGUUGUACUGCAAUUCUUCCUGUUUUUGUAUUCAGUUCCUCACUUAAAAAUUGUCAAUGCUUCUGCCUUGUUGAAUUCAACUUCCUCUGCCCCUGGCUGGAAGAGUCCCUGUUCUGCUUCUUUACUUCUGCUGUCCCACCCAUGCUGGAGUUGAAGGGAUGCUCACAGGCGGGGUAUCAUGGACCUGGCUUCUUGCAGACCCACUGACCUGGCUUGUGCACUUUAGUGCUUGUGGGUACAAGAUGCAUUGUGGAGAGUUGGAAGCCAUGGAGAGGACCAGCAUGGACAUGACUGAGCUGAUUUGUUUUGCUUUUGUGUUCUGCCUCUGUCAUCUCUGAUAUGCUUGUGAUCUUCUGAGAACCAUUUAUCUAAAAGGCUCUCUGGAAAAGCAAGGCAAAAAGCAGCAAGCAUUUAGCUGCCCCUGUUGCUAUGUGUCAGUGAUGUGAGACCUGUUACUCAGGGAACCUAAAGCAUCAUGAGCCUGCUCGAGUUCCCAGCACCACGCAGACAUCUGGAGAGGGUCUUUGCUUCAUCAGUCAUGCACCGGAAGAUUGGUGGGAGCAUGCUGUCACUACCAUGGUGUGUGUGACUGCUCAGUGCUCAUGGAGAGGAGGCAGCUCAGCUCCACAGCAGGUGGAGCAGGAUUGCCCACCCACCUUUUGCUCUGUGGGAAGAUCCUAAUAGAAGUAGGUUUCAGCAGCUGCCUGUUUGCGGCUGGAAAAAGUGAGAAGUUAAUAGCUUGCAGCAGUCUAGGAAGCCAAGAUGGGAUUUUGGCAAUGUAGUUGUCCUCUGUCUCCUUAAGUCUGUGAAACUGGGGUUGUGCCUGUUUAUGCCAGAUUUGUACCAGUGCUUUGGAUAAUUGAUGGACACCAAAACUUCACAGUACAGGUAUUGCUGAGAACAAGCACUGUACAAGUUAGCCUAGUUAUGUGUUUCACAGAUCUCUCGUUAGCAAACAAUUCUUAAUAAGAAUUAUAAUAUUAAUGAGGGUUUAUCCACUAAAUCCCUUUCACGGGAAAAAAAUAAUCAAAAGUCUGACUCAUAUGGUAAGGUGAGGACAUUUGGCUGAAGGCAUGGAAGAGGUGAUAGGAGAAUUAACACUGCAGUUCCUCUCUGGAUUGUGUACAGCAGAGCAGGGCUGGAGGGAGAGAUAUUCUGACUCAACAAACUGGGGGAGAGGUGGAAUUAGCACUUUGGUGAAGACUAAGAGAGCUUCACUCAAGCUGUUUGAUGACUCAUUUAGUUUAUUUGCAAUAUAAAGUUUAGCUGCUGAGAAACCGUUGUCAAAUACAGAGGGCUUUCUCUGGUCUCUGACUCGUCAUUAAGGUCACUAUUGCUGGUGGGAGUCCCCACCCAUAGCAGUGGUCACAGCCCAAUGCAAGGACACCGUGGGAUGGGGGUUUGUGUGUUGCAGUCAGCUUUCACUGAGGACGGUGUCUGCACGCUGGCACUUGCCUCUGCAGUGUUGUCUUGGCCUUACUGGAGUUCUGUUAUUCAUGUAGGUUUUGAUGUGCUUCGUGUCUGGCCUCUGAUGAAAAUGUGCUGGCAGGGGAGGAGUGCUGGAGGGCCCAGCUCUGUUCUGCUUCUGGGUUGAGGGCAAGGCUGCCCUGUUGUCCCAUGACCACUCAGCUGCCACCUCAGCACAAACACACACCUACACUUAAAGCAGCUGGACUUUCUGGUUCAGAUUGCUGCUGAAUCCUGUCUUCCAUCUGUGCUCAGCUGCUGAGUAGUGGGAAUGUAGUUUUGUGAGGUAAGCCAGAGAGAGUAAGCCAAGUUUUAAACUAUGUGUGUAUAAUCUUCACAAAAAAAUGCUGUGUAAUUCUGAACUCUCAUUUUCUUAUU